UACAGAGGGGGCUAGCGUUGUUCGGAAUUACUGGGCGUAAAGCGCGCGUAGGCGGCUUUGCAAGUCAGAGGUGAAAGCCUGGAGCUCAACUCCAGAACUGCCUUUGAAACUGCAUCGCUAGAAUCAUGGAGAGGUUAGUGGAAUUCCGAGUGUAGAGGUGAAAUUCGUAGAUAUUCGGAAGAACACCAGUGGCGAAGGCGACUAACUGGACAUGUAUUGACGCUGAGGUGCGAAAGCGUGGGGAGCAAACAGG
rnacentral:rRNA from 1 species